AGGAAGAUGUUUCAAGAAGAAAGUGCUCUCCCAAUCAAGAUCAUCAAUUUCAGUUUGGACAGCUUCAAGUCCUUUACUUGCCACCAUUUCUUUAAACCUUUGUUCCAUGCACUUUUUGUAAUGUCCCUUAGUUAAAUUCUCCACUGUGUCCAGCAAUUCAUGAGAAAUCCCAUGAUUCACAAGCUCAAAGAAACCCCAGUUUUCACAUGCAUCUUUGAUUUUGUCCAUUGCUUCAGGCCUUUUCUCAGUUUGAAGCAACCCCAUAUCCACAACUGGGAAAUUACUCUCCAUUUUUCUGUUUUUUUUUCUUUUCUUACUAAGCUGACUCUCUAGUUUAUCUUUUAAUUUGCUUGUGUUUGG
rnacentral:misc_RNA from 1 species